rnacentral:rRNA from 1 species
GCGUUGGACCGCACACAAGUCUGUUGGAAUACAGCGGCACAGUGGUGAGACCCCCGUUCAUGGUGCGGAUGCCCAAUGCUUUGUGAUACAUUUUCGAAGAGUCGAGUUGUUUGGGAAUGCAGCUCAAAUUGGGUGGUAAAUUCCAUCUAAAGCUAAAUAUUGGCGAGAGACCGAUAGCGAACAAGUA